UAUUAUCUGAUAGACAUAGAUCUCCAAGCAUUUCCCCGAAACUAGUACAGGAGUUUAAUGCUUGUAUUCCGUCUAUAUGGAUCAGCAAGUUUGGCUCUUCUGUUACAUUA